rnacentral:lncRNA from 1 species
GAAUUCUCUCGAUUUACCUCAAAAAGUGCAUAUGUAUGUGAAAUACAGGAGUCAACCAAGCUGCCAAAGAUAAUUCUUUUUGUUUACACAGCAUUUUCACCUGCGUGAUUUCAACAGAUUCUCAUAACUGCCUUCUUAAAUGAGUGUUACUAAACUUAAACCAAGGCCCCAAGAUGCUAAACAAAAGUCACACAUCCAGUAUUUGGGAGAAUCCAGAGGUAAACUCAUGUCUUUGUAUUUCAGAACCAGUCUUCAACUUUCAUCCAUUUUUUUCAUUUGACUAACAGGUUAUUUUGAUCUUGAGAGACAUAGCCAGAACUACCAAAUGAAAAUGCAAACAAAAACCACAUAAUCCCAAAGUUACUGAACCUUACAGAAACAUUGUGAGAAGAAGUAAACAAAAGAGGUGAAAAUGAUGUGAAGGUUAUAAUGCCUAACAUAGUAGCCCAACUGUCAGAUGGACUCAAGAUCAGAAGCAGAAAACUGAUUUGAAUAAUAAAGACAGGUUGCUUUUUCAUAGGUGACCUGAGAAGAAUGCUACAUUCUGAUAUCACAAUAGCUCUUCAGCCUAGCCUUAAGCCCCAUCCAUGACAUUGGUAAUGGCAUUGAAAAGUGAAAAACAACAGAAAAAGUUUAUUCUAUGGAAGGACAUAUUCUACUGAGUAGGAUUGAUGCUCUGUUAUUAAUAUUCAUUGGAAGGCAGCCAACCAGGGUUGGAAACCCAAUUCGUGGUUCGCAUCAAGCCAGCAAAUAUGUUUUGACUGAAGUGCCAACUGAAACAUCUCAAUAUCAAUCCCAGUUGGAAAAUGCUCCAUAACUGAUUAUCAUUGUCUGCCAGAAGCUCAGAAGGGGUGAAUGAUGGCAAAUGCACAGCACGACUUUUUUACCAUUCCUGCUGAGAACCCAAAUUGCUACACUGAUAUUUUUAUACCGUUUUAAUCAGCUGAACGUAACAGUAACUUCAUGAAAUAAACAACUAACCAGGAAAAGACAAGAGGUUUCCCUAAGAAUAUUGAAAACCUAAUCAUGAUUAAAACAUCA